UGAUUUUCCUGUACAGACUGCUGCCACGCUGGCUGGCUAGGUCGCUCUAAAGUGUUAUUCCAAGCAACACAUGUGAGGAAACCAGUACUCGACUGGCUGGUUCAUAUAUGGAUGGUGUGACAUGCUGCAUGUGUUCCAUGGAUCAGAUCUUUUCAACUCUGAUUCCCUGAGGUAUGAAGAGAGGGAUUUGAUGAGGACCUCCUAUAUAGAAUCUCUCUCCUCGAAACGUCUGAUUGUGGGUUUCUUCAUCUGUUCCCACCUCCUUCUGGAAGAAGCCUCUCUGAUGAUGACUGGAUAAGGCAUUGAUCUUUGAUUACAGCAGAAUAUCAUUAGGAUUCAUUUUAUUGAUACUGUUUCAAGACUAGUAGUGUUUGAUUUACCCAUUCUCUUGCUAUCUUGUCUGAUUCUUGGUUACUCAAGCAGUGUUGCGCAUGGGUUGCCUCUCUUAGAGUGGGCCUUAAGUCAAAUCAAACAUUCGUUGGUUAGUGCCACAAAUUCUGUAUCACCAUUGCCUUAGCAUAUUUUGUAGACAAGACAGAUUGUAAGUCAAAGGUUUUGUGAGGCUUGGUGUCCACAUUUCUCUUUCUGUAACAUUCAGUGUACCUUCCUGCACCAAGGAGACUAGAACAUAUGGCUCCACGCAGGUACCAGUCUGACUUCUCCAUGUUCAGAAAUUGUGUGGGCAUUGUCCACAGCAUUGGAACCCCACUGUAUAUUUUCAGAGAGCAGCCUUUUGUCUUAGCAACAGCCUGAAUUAUUUGGGAAUUCCCAUGGGACCUCCUUAGCCAACAACUCAACUGAAUACUUUCCAGUCCCACCACUAAAUAGCUUACCUGGCUACAAGAGACAGCCAGUUGAGACUCAUCCCCCACUACUAGGGGUCCUCACUGGGAUCACCUUCAUACAUUCUAGGAAUUUUGCCCUGCACUAGCGUUACACAAACUCCCAAAUGUCCCCCAAUUCCAGCCAAUUCUCCUCCACACUCUCCUUCUACCCCAUCUCCCACCCUACCAUCUCCUCUACACUCACACCUUCACUCCUAUCCACCCACAAAAUCUGUGGUAUUUCCCCCUUCCAGAGAGAUCAUUCCAUCUAUAUUCCUCCUCUUUAUCUAACCUUUCUGGAUUAUUUUGUAUCUUGGUUAUCAUCUACUUAACAGCUAACGUCCAUUUACAAUUGAAUAAUACUAGAUUUAACUUUCUGUGUCUGAAAUGCCUUACUCAAGAUGUUUUUUUUUUUCUACUUCCAUC
rnacentral:lncRNA from 1 species